rnacentral:rRNA from 1 species
CUACGGGUUGCUCCAGUGGGGAAUCUUAGACAAUGGGCGCAAGCCUGAUCUAGCCAUGCCGCGUGAGUGAUGAAGGCCUUAGGGUCGUAAAGCUCUUUCGCUGGGGAAGAUAAUGACGGUACCCAGUAAAGAAACCCCGGCUAACUCCGUGCCAGCAGCCGCGGUAAUACGGAGGGGGUUAGCGUUGUUCGGAAUUACUGGGCGUAAAGCGCGCGUAGGCGGACUGUUAAGUCGGGGGUGAAAUCCCGGGGCUCAACCCCGGAACGGCCUUCGAUACUGGCAGUCUGGAGUUCGAGAGAGGUGAGUGGAAUUCCGAGUGUAGAGGUGAAAUUCGUAGAUAUUCGGAGGAACACCAGUGGCGAAGGCGGCUCACUGGCUCGAUACUGACGCUGAGGUGCGAAAGUGUGGGGAGCAAACAGGAUUAGAUACCCUGGUAGUC